CUAGGGAAGAAAUGGGGAGGGAAAAUCGAGUAUCGUGCUGGAGUACACGAGCGGCGGACGGCUGAGUAACGCGUGGGAACGUACCCCAAAGUGAGGGAUAAGCACCAGAAAUGGUGUCUAAUACCGCAUAUGGUCUUCGGAUUAAAGCUUCGGCGCUUUGGGAACGGCCUGCGUAUGAUUAGUUUGUUGGUGAGGUAACGGCUCACCAAGACUACGAUCAUUAGCUGGUCUGAGAGGAUGAUCAGCCAGACUGGGACUGAGAACGGCCCAGACUCCUACGGGAGGCAGCAGUAGGGAAUUUUCCACAAUGGACGAAAGUCUGAUGGAGCAACGCCGCGUGCAGGAUGAAUGCCUUCGGGUUGUAAACUGCUUUUAUAUGUGACGAUUAUGACGGUAGCAUAUGAAUAAGGAUCGGCUAAUUCCGUGCCAGCAGCCGCGGUCAUACGGAAGAUCCAAGCGUUAUCCGGAAUUACUGGGCGUAAAGAGUUGCGUAGGUGGCAUAGUAAGUAGAUAGUGAAAUCCUGGGGCUCAACCCUUUAAACAUUAUCUAAACUGCUAAGCUAGAGGGCGAGAGAGGUUACUAGAAUUUCUUGUGUAGGAGUGAAAUCCGUAGAUAUAAGAAGGAAUACCGAUGGCGUAGGCAGGUAACUGGCUCGUCCCUGACACUAAGGCACGAAAGCGUGGGGAGCGACCGGGAUUAGAUACCCCGUUAGUCCACGCCGUAAACGAUGGAUGCUAGCUGUUAUGAGUAUCGACCCUCGUAGUAGCGAAGCUAACGCGUUAAGCAUCCCGCCUGUGGAGUACGAGCGCAAGCUUAAAACAUAAAGGAAUUGACGGGGACCCGCACAAGCGGUGGAGCGUGUUCUUUAAUUCGAUGGUAAGCGAAGAACCUUACCCAGGUUUGAC
rnacentral:rRNA from 1 species